UACAGAGGGUGCAAGCGUUAAUCGGAAUUACUGGGCGUAAAGCGCGCGUAGGUGGUCUGUUAAGUUGGAUGUGAAAGCCCCGGGCUCAACCUGGGAACUGCAUCCAAAACUGGCAAGCUAGAGUACGGUAGAGGGUGGUGGAAUUUCCUGUGUAGCGGUGAAAUGCGUAGAUAUAGGAAGGAACACCAGUGGCGAAGGCGACCACCUGGACUGAUACUGACACUGAGGUGCGAAAGCGUGGGGAGCAAACAGG
rnacentral:rRNA from 1 species